UGAGCAAUCUGCCCUUCUCUUCGGAAUAAGCGUGGGAAACCGCGUCUAAUGCCGAAUACGACCUCCUUUCGCAUGAUCGGAGGUGGAAAGCUCCGGCGGAGAAGGAUGAGCUCGCGGCCUAUCAGCUAGUUGGUGUGGGUAACGGCCCACCAAGGCGACGACGGGUAGCCGGCCUGAGAGGGUGACCGGCCACACUGGGACUGAGACACGGCCCAGACUCCGUACGGGAGGCAGCAGG
rnacentral:rRNA from 1 species